AAUGCAGUGAGAAAAGAUGGAUAUAUCACAUUGAAGAUGCAGACAAAAAGGGAAGUGGAGAAAGAAAGUGACCCAGAAAUGUAGAGAAAGCUGACUGCUUGGAUUUGAAAGUUAGAAGAUGGAUGGAUCAAGAAGCAGCAGCUGCCUGUGGGAGAUGAGACAGAUGAAAAGGAAGUGCCUAGAGAACCAUUGGUGGGGUUGGCCAAGUGCUGAGAGGACACUGCCUCUAAUCGUUUGAUUCAGCGUCCUGUUGGAGUCUGACCCAUCCAUCUGCUGUCUCCAGAUGUCUUCCAUUCUACCACAUGCAUGUGCUGUGGCUGGUUCUCUGUCCUUGCUCUUUAAUUCACUCCUGGUCUGUCUACUACCUGCAUGAAUCAGCUGAUCCAGAAUUUCUUCACUCUGUGGCUCCCCCAGUCACGAUCACAUCCUGUUUACAGUUCCUUGAUAUACGACAACUCUGAUGUGCACACUAUUCAUACUAGCCACAUCGUGACAUGAGAGACUAUGGAACAUAUAUCAAUAUCUUUCAUGUAUUUAUAAUACAAUGCUGAGUCUACAUAGAAUACUGACCACUCUUGAGGCAAGUUGUCUGUUUGCUAUUGUUCUCCUUCAAAUGAGACAAACUGGGGUUUUGUUUGCCUAUUAUUUUUUUAAAUUAGUUUUGCGUAAACUUUUACAGAGCAAAGAAUUCUGGGGAAAUACAAUAAUGUAGUAUGGCCAGUAAUUUACAAAUCAUCCACUUACAGUCAAAGAAAAAGGGGAAUAAACUCAGAAAGUAUCAUUAGAGUAGAGCAUAGCGAUUAUAGAAUCUGCAGUUGCACAAAUAUUUUAUUUUAUAUUGCAAAAUUUAAUGGAGAACAAUAAAGGUAUAUUUCCUUUAGAAGAAACUCAUAGGCAGAAUGCUAUUUCCCUAAAAUCCAAGGAGUUUAUGUUGUCAAAUCUGAGGUUAUUUUUUGUGCCCAAAGUGUUUGAUUGAUUCAAUAAUGACUACUAAGCCUAGGGAACGUCUAGAUACUUGCUUGUUUUCCAGGCAAGUACGCUAGGCCAGACCUGCUGUAAAAUCUGCAUUUCUAGUAUUCUACAUUAAGAAUAUUGAGUAAGUCAUUGAUGCAUAUGAGGAAGAGAAAUACAGUUAUAUUAAAUAUGGACAAUUUAACCUAACAAGGUAGAGUAGAAAGAGGAAGGUUUUUGGUAUCAGACUAAAGUUGAAUGUUUUCCUUCUGUUUUUACACAUAGCUCAUCUUUCUGGAUAUUGCUUUCUUCAUAUGAGAAGUUGUAAUCAUAAACUUCCCAAGUUAGCAUGAGGGUUAUAAAAACUGAAGUGUGUAUUCACUAGGACCAUUGCAGGUAUUAUGUUGAAAGACUCAAAAAAUAAGUCAAUUUCAUAUGGAGAAAUUAUUCUAAUACUAAGGAAUGGCUUCUUCUAUUUCCAUUUUUAUGCAGAUAUUUCUUAAAAUUAUAAUAAAUUCAGGGAAGAACAGAAAACAUACUGUAAUUAAAUAACAAAAUUUUAGGUGGAAAAGCCUCAAUAAUAAAUGAUAUAUGAUAUAAAAUUUCUAACCUUAACACAGGCCUCAAAAUUAGAAAAUAAGAUUUACUUUGACUGUAGUUAAAUUGAGGCCUCCUCGUUGUAGUUAAGAAACCGUUUCAGUUAUAUUUAUGUAAUCAAAUUUGUAUUCAAAGUCUGAUCAGAAUGGCAGAAUUGUAAUUAUAUCAAACAUUUUGUUCCUUUUGUGGGAUAAUGCCACAUAUUGUAUUACUGCAUUCUCCACUUCUAUUCCAGCUCCAUCCCAAUAUUAAAGGUUUGAAAAUUCCUCAAAAUAUAUUUUGUGUGAGAUUGGUGUAGAAUCUCCUGCUCAAAUAAGACACCUUCACGGUUUAUUCUAAACAAACAUGACUUAAUUGUGCUUAGCCCAGUACUUCUUAAAUUCAUUUCAGAAGAAAACCUGUGGGUCCCUCAACAUCUAUUAGCAUUUCCCAUGUUAGCAGGGGGAUAUUUGUCAAAUAAAAUAAAGUAGAAUUAAAUGAAAAUGUUAAUCAAUAUGAAUAAAUAAACUCUUCAGAAACACCCAGUGAUUUAUUUAUAAAACAAGUAUAAUAAACUCUGCUGAAAACUAGUUAGUUUAAUUUUAAUCAGUUCUUUGAUCUAUUCCAUUAAGCUAUUAUUAAUCAUUAAAAAUGUUUUGUUUUACUAUUUCUAGUUUGUACCUAUUUUAAAGAAAUAGAAUCAUAUCAGAUAUAUAACUCAAACCUGUUAAUGAUAGACUUUCCAGACUAGUAAAAAUUUAGUCUUGCCUUUCCUUAUUGGAAACACUAAUAUAUCAGAGCCAUUUGCUAUGUCUAUUUUCUGUAUUUUAUCAAGCACAUAUCAGAGGGAAAGGGAUGAAUAUGAAUAGAAAACUGCCUUACAGAGUAUCUACUCACCAGUCCAGUAGUUACCCCAUUAUAUGCUUUCUGAAGUUAGGGCUUUGGAGGCUCGCUAGGUUUCCCACUUGUUCUUGGGUCACAAUUGAUGUUUGUUGAAUAAUACUAGACUUACCCUCUCCUCAGUAAAUUUAUAGUCAGCUGUUUUGUUUGUGUUUGCUUGUUUUUUUCACUGACUCGGUUCUCUCUCGUUUCUGAGCAACAGGUAAGAAUGUCCAUCCGUUCUUCAUCCACAACAGAGAAACAAGAUUAUGUAACAGAAUAAAUAAGCUUCCUUUGACUUGUCUUGUGAAUUCGUAAACUGCUCAAAGGAGGCUUUGGAAUAUUCCUACUGGACAUAUGGGACAGCUAUCUGGAAAAGCCAAAAUAUUUGUAAUUUAUCCGUGAAGACUAGAUCCUCAAGUUUAUGUUCAUCUCUUUUCUCUUUCUCCUCAGUCUUGCCCUAAAAUGUUGCUUUUAAAGAUCUCAGGCAUUUUGAAUCAUACAAGGUUUUAGAUUAGUAUAUGGGGUCUGUAGCAAAUGCUCAGUGCAUGCCAGUGCUUACUGAUAGGGAGUUUUUCUGCAAUGUGUGACAAAACAGGGUAAUGUCUUACGUUCCUAAGUAUUAACACCAUCCUGUUAUGUGACUAAUUUUUUUUAACUUUUUGUUCUUCCUAAUCUAAUUAUUUCCAAACACUUGUAUUUUUAUAUAUGAUUAGGUGCAAUUUUUUCCCCAUUGAAACCAGUUAGAACUUAAAAGUUCACUAUACAUAGCUUUACAAUUAUGUAUUCCUAUAUAAAACUUUCUGUGUGCAUUUUAUGGAGAUGAAAGAAAGAAGUCUGAGUGUCUGGAUAUACCCCAUGUUUAUCUCAUACUGAUAGAUUUUAACGGCUUUAUGAGUACAGUGUUCACGAUGGUUGUUUCCACAUGUGAACACAUAUGGGCAUGAGCAUGUGCACCACACACACACACACACACACACACACACACACACACGUUUUAGAGAAAAUCAAUUCUCCUGGCUUCUCCCAGCACAUUUCCUGAGUCUAAUCUCCCUUCUGCAGCUAUUUCAUGCUCACUGCAGAACAAACAAAAUCUACAUUCAGAACAGGACCCUUCACAAGUUCAAUGGAGUUAUUUUGGGUGAGUCAUUGAAAACACAGUACAAAACCUUUCCUCACUCACCAGAAAUGCAUUUUAAAAAUAAAGCCAAAGUGAACAAGGCUUGGCAAGUUUCAGAGUAAAAUGGGGAGAGAAUGGGGCCUUCGCCAGCCCCAGACAGGAUUUUGGCUAUCUCUUAGCUUCCAACUCCACCAAUUUCUUUUGUUCCCACUAACCAAAAAGUGCAAAGUUGAAUAGGUAAGACAUCAAAAUAAUGGCACAUCAGUUCAACUCAGCACCUCCACAGCAGGUCUCCAGCAGAGCCCAUGUGUCUUGUAGCUUAGAACAGUUUUAAGACUUCUUUGUGUCUUUCUUUCCUUAGGGGUACUAGGGUACACACAUUAAGAAGUCACUGUCUUCAGACUUUUAGACAAAUAAUUAAAAAGAAUUAAAAGUAGUAUAUAAGUGUAAUAUCCCUUCCUAUAAAAUAGCUUUUAAGUAAGUGGAGCCUCAUGAAAGUUAAUCCAGUAACCAAGUAUUAGAGGAAGUAGAACUGUGAAGACACAAUAAGCCAGCUUCUAAGAAGAUUUUUAAGCUGAAUUUUAUAAUAAAUAAGUCUUUGUAAUAGUUGUGUGAACCUGAGAUUUUUAACAUAGAGCUAUUCAAGAUUUAUAAGUCACUGUGAAUUACUUCCUAUUAACCAUGUUACUCACCCAAUACCGUGAAGAAAUCUUAUUUUCCACAAGGCACUGCAGAUCACACACACAGGUACUCACAUCUCAUAGGCGAGGAGAAACUCAAAUUCCACAAAGAGAUAUGGUAUCUGGUUUGUUAUUCUGAGUUCUGUAUGUCAAUAUGUGGGUAUGUCCACAUGUACACAGGUGCCAAGAAGGCUACAAGGGUUGUGAUCCUCCACAUAUGGGUGCUGGAAAUGGAACCCUCAUACCCUUUACAGAAGCAGCAAGGUCCCUUAUCCAUGAAACUGUCUUUCCAACCCCAUGGAGAUAUGUUUAAAAAAUUGUGGUAACUCAAAACUCUUGCUAUAGAAUUUCAUAGUUCCUAAAAUCACCUUUAACACAGGUUGACCCAAAUAUUAUUGUGAGCAAAUUAACAUAUACUGUAGAGGAUCCCCCAGUAAGAAGUAUCCUAUUCAUAAAAGUCCCAUCUCCAAGUUAUAGGAAAAGCCAAAAAAUACUGAUUACCUAUAUACAUUUUAACCUUGGGCCCUGAAAAUCACCAGUUUUCACAUGUCAGGGUGACAACUGUUAGUAAGGAAAAAAAAUCUCUACAUUUGAAAUUUAAUCUGCCUGUGGAAAUACAAUGUCCAAAAUAAAUAGAUAUCCUGCUCUAGUUGAAAAUGUCAUAGUACUCCAUUUCCUACAUUUGGAGAAUUUCUUUUCUUUCACUUCUCUUUUGGGGUAAAGUGGUAGUUUUUAAAUAAUAAAAUAAGAACUUAUGUUUCUUCAUGUGUCUAAAA